rnacentral:rRNA from 1 species
UACGUAGGUGGCAAGCGUUGUCCGGAUUUACUGGGCGUAAAGAGCGCGCAGGCGGUCGUUCAAGUCGCGUGUGAAAGCCCCCGGCUCAACUGGGGAGGGUCACGCGAUACUGAUCGACUCGAAGGCAGGAGAGGGUAGUGGAAUCCCAGUGUAGCGGUGAAAUGCGCAGAUAUUGGGAAGAACACCAGUGGCGAAGGCGGAUUCUCUGGGA